AUCCUGGCUCAGGACGAACGCUGGCGGCGUGCUUAACACAUGCAAGUCGAACGAUGAAGCCCUUCGGGGUGGAUUAGUGGCGAACGGGUGAGUAACACGUGGGCAAUCUGCCCUUCACUCUGGGACAAGCCCUGGAAACGGGGUCUAAUACCGGAUACGACUGCGGGAGGCAUCUCCUGUGGUGGAAAGCUCCGGCGGUGAAGGAUGAGCCCGCGGCCUAUCAGCUUGUUGGUGAGGUAACGGCUCACCAAGGCGACGACGGGUAGCCGGCCUGAGAGGGCGACCGGCCACACUGGGACUGAGACACGGCCCAGACUCCUACGGGAGGCAGCAGUGGGGAAUAUUGCACAAUGGGCGAAAGCCUGAUGCAGCGACGCCGCGUGAGGGAUGACGGCCUUCGGGUUGUAAACCUCUUUCAGCAGGGAAGAAGCGAAAGUGACGGUACCUGCAGAAGAAGCGCCGGCUAACUACGUGCCAGCAGCCGCGGUAAUACGUAGGGCGCAAGCGUUGUCCGGAAUUAUUGGGCGUAAAGAGCUCGUAGGCGGCUUGUCACGUCGGGUGUGAAAGCCCGGGGCUUAACCCCGGGUCUGCAUCCGAUACGGGCAGGCUAGAGUGUGGUAGGGGAGAUCGGAAUUCCUGGUGUAGCGGUGAAAUGCGCAGAUAUCAGGAGGAACACCGGUGGCGAAGGCGGAUCUCUGGGCCAUUACUGACGCUGAGGAGCGAAAGCGUGGGGAGCGAAC
rnacentral:rRNA from 1 species